AACACACGCUCUGUAAGGCAUGUUUUGCCUGUUAUUGCAUGCUCAGACUCUAGAAUAGCACCUGGCACAUAGUAAGUGGUCAGUUAAUACUAAUGGUAUAAAUACAAAGAGCUGGGAAUGCAGAGAUGAGAAGAAAUCAAGGGGCUUAUAGUUCUGUCCUUGAUCUGAUGGGAUUUGCCUCAAAAGGAAAGCAAGAAUAAUUAAUAACUCAAUGCUUAUGCUUCAGUGGAAAAGACUCAGACACUCAAGUUAUUUCAUUUUCAUAAGAAGGCUUGCCCAAGCUUGAGGAUCUGGUUCCUGAGGUCUUCUUUGAGCCAAGACUCUUGGUGUGAGAUGUAUGAGGACCAGGGUCCACAGAUGAGUCAGACCCUGUGUUGUUGACACCUAAGAAGAUGCUCUGUCCACAGUUUACAUUUCAGCCAUUUGGAUUUCUGAACACUCCUGCUUUCCCCUUGGAGUAUUUUAUGCGUUUUAAACAGGAACCUGGU
rnacentral:lncRNA from 10 species